GAAAUGCGAUAAGUAAUGUGAAUUGCAGAAUUCAGUGAAUCAUCGAAUCUUUGAACGCAGAUUGCGCCCUUUGGUAUUCCGAAGGGCAUGCCUGUUUGAGUGUCUUAUAAACCUCACCUCUAUAGUUUUCUAUAGUUGUGCUUUGGGUGUCUGCCAUUUACUUGGCUCGCCUUAAAUGUCUAAGUGGAAUGCGUAAUAAGUUCUCGCAACCCUCCACUCUAAUACACUUUAUAUUCUGACCUCAAAUCAGGUAGGACUACCCGCUGAACUUAA
rnacentral:misc_RNA from 1 species